ACAUGUAGAGGGAUCCAUCAUGUUGUGACACUAAGAUAAGGAGUGUCUCUAUGCAAAUGUCCAUCCUUAUUAUAUAUUUAAGCAGUGAAGACCAAGAGCUUGUACUUAUUCUGCUUCAACACACAACAUGAUCUCUACAUCCCUACUGCUGCUGCUGCUGGCAGCCAUACACUGUGUUCACUGUGUUGAGCUGAUCCAGCCUGGAUCCACAGUAUUAACCCCUGGUCAGUCAGUGUCUCUGACCUGUAAAGUGUCUGGAUAUUCAUUAACAAGUACCUACUGUACACACUGGAUACGACAACCUGCAGGAAAAACUCUGGAGUGGAUCGGAUGGAUAUGUUAUGAUGGUAGCACUGCCUACAGUGAGAAACUGAAAAGCAGGUUUCAGAUUUCCAGAGACACGUCCAGCAGCACAGUAACAUUAACAGGGCAGAACAUGCAGACUGAAGACACAGCUGUGUAUUACUGCGCUCGUCAACCACAGUGAGACAGAUCAACAACAUCCCUGUACAAAAACACCUCAUACAAAGUCCUAUUAGUCCACAAGUACAACAUUACCUAUCAAAGUCUAACUAUAAAAUCUAAUCAGACAAAUCACAACAAAGAGUUUAAAGUUAUUUUUAAACUUUUAUAAUGUAGAUUUAAACCAUAUUUCUAAUAUAGUAAUGCUACAUCUCUAACAUUG